CGGGUGAGUUACACGUGAGUCACCUGCCCUCCACUUCGGGAUAACCUCGGGAAAUCGUGGCUAAUACCGGAUAUGAGCACUCAUCGCAUGGUGAGUGCUGGAAAGAUUUAUCGGUGGGGGAUGGACUCGCGGCCUAUCAGUUUGUUGGUGAGGUGAUGGCUCACCAAGACGAUGACGGGUAGCCGGGCUGAGAGGGCGACCGGCCACACUGGGACUGAGACACGGCCCAAACUCCUACGGGAGGCAGCAGUGGGGAAUAUUGCACAAUGGGCGAAAGCCUGAUGCAGCGACCCCCGCCGGGGGGGAUGACGGCCUUCGGGUUGUAAACCCCCUUUCAGUAGGGAAAGAAGCGAGAGUGACGGUACCUGCAGAAGAAACGCCGGCUAACUACGUGCCAGCAGCCGCGGUAAUACGUAGGGCGCAAGCGUUUUUCGGAAUUAUUGGGCGUAAAAAGCUUGUAGGUGGCUUGUCGCGUCUGCCGUGAAAACCCGAGGCUCAACCUCGGGCGUGCGGGGGGGUACCGGCAGGCUAGAGUGUGGUAAGGGAGACUGGAACUCCUGGUGUAGCGGUGAAAUGCGCAGAAUAUAGGAAGAACCCGAUGGCGAAGGCAGGUCUCUGGGCCAGUACUGACACUGAGAAGCGCAAAGCAUGGGUAGCCAACAGGAUUUGAUACCUUUGUGAGCCAUGCCGUAACGUGGGGCAAUAGGGGUGGGGGGACCUUCCACGUUUUCCCCGCCCGUAACUAAAGGAUAAAGUGCCCCGCCCUGGGGAGUACGGCGGCAGGCUAAAACUUCAAGGAUUGACGGGGGGCCCC
rnacentral:rRNA from 1 species